UAAGCCCACAUUUAACUGAAAUAUGCGGAAAAUUCAACGGUCUGUAAUUAGCAGAUUAUAUGGUUGCGCAUGGUGCUCGUGAUUUCGCGUUCGGAUUGUUGUCUGCAAAAUAAGGCGACACUCGCUUUAAGAAAGGUGAACUCUUUUAAUUAAACACACAUUUCUCCUCAGAAAUUAGUGAUUACAGUCAAAUUUCGUCACACGUCGUGACCGCACGAAGACCCGCAGUAUAUCUGUUGUUUCCUCUCGUUGCCUUCAGAGACCAAUCUUCUUUCUUCUGUUGUUUUCAGAAACAAGCUCCUUGGUCGUGAGAAACAAGGGGACUUACUCGAAACAAGCAUUCCAAUCAUGAGAGAGAAGGGGACUCACGAUAAACAAGCACUUCAAUCGUGAGAGAUAAGUAGAUUCACGUUAAACAAGCACCAUAAUCAUAAGAGACAAGGGAACUCUUGUACAAGACCUCAUUUUUACUGAUUGCAGCGCCACCUACAAUGAUUAAAAAAAAUUUUUCAGAUAAAAGUUAUCUCGUUUUUAGCGCAGAAUCAUAAUAUUAAAUAAAAAUUAGAAGUUUCCAUUGCAGUGCCCAGGGAGGCCGAACACGAAAUAUUGCUCGGAUUCGACGGUACGGAUGGAGAAAUGGCAACAUCAAAGAGACGAUUGAUGAAAUAAAAGUGGUUUAUUUCAAUA